rnacentral:lncRNA from 1 species
GGAGAAUCUGACACUACUGAAGGGUUUCCUUUUUCUUUCCUGUGGGGCAACUCCACUUUGCAGUAAUGGAAUAUCGUGAAUUAGCUGAGAUAAUAGCAGACCCCUUUGGAAUUUGCCCAGGGCUUCAGCUUUAUCAUAGGUGAGACGAAUGAGAGCCAAAAAGCAAUAAUCUCUUUUUUCUGGACUAGCAGUACCUAUCGUGUAGAGUUAUUUGAAGACUGGUUGUAUUCUUGGUAGAAUUAUUAACCCUGCCCAUAUACCUACUCCUUCAGUUUUCUGCCUGGCAAGCAUAUAGGGGCCACCUAAACAGGUAAGAAUCUUCCUUUAUUUGUUAAUUUUUAUAAAGAGCUGUCAAUCUUGUCUUUACACCCAGUUGAUUUUUAGAGUACAUGGAGCUGGCCUUAUUUGAAAACAAAAAAUAUUUACAAUUUACUCUCAAAAUAUAACCUCAAACUAUCUAUUGCCCAAUCCAUGCAAGAAAUAUAGUCAAAGAGAAUUAUCCGAAUGAGCCACAGGUCCUGAAGCUUCCUCAAUCAGCUUUUCCAAAAUGCGUUCCCCAGGGAACAUGAUUUUAUAAGAUGUCACUUCCUGGUAUCCGGUGAAAAAUGGAUUCAUGAUGAAAUACACCAGUUUGAACAAAGUUAAAUUACUUUCCGCAGGAUUUCUCUGGGCCUUUCAUAAGUGUGAAUUUCCAAAAAGGGAAAGAGGAUAUAGCAUUUCUCAAAUUACUUAACCACAGAAACAUUUCUCCCCUGAAUAUCUAACAGGACUAGUGUUCUGUGAAGCCAAAUGAGAAACUAUCUCUAGACAGCUUCCAUGCUAUUUCAAGAUUAAGAAGAAUCAGGUUGCAUACCUGAACCUCCUUGUUUUGAGCCACUCACCCCAUCCCCAAAUAUUUUUACUGAAUUAUAAUUUGUUAUUAUGCCCCUGGUUUCACUGCAGGAUCCUACAGGAAACUUGCAAUUGAAUUCACUGCAGGAAAUGUUUAAUUUAUCUACUACAUCUCCAUAUUGUAGUGUCCCCUUUAUGAGAUCUGUAUGAAACUGCUCUCAUAUAUCAAGUUCUGGGGAGAAAACUCUCCCAAACAUCAAGUCCCAGGAAAAGCUGCGCUGGUGUGUUUUCACCAUGGCAAAUCUUCCCCUGAUCGUGUUUUCCUCUUUGCUUAGAUUAGGGAAGCUCAGGCUAAAUUUAAAGCCCACUUUUAAUAAUUAUUUAGCACCUUACGUUUCAUAUUUUAUGUAAUAUCUCUUUAAUAUAUUAAAGGGAUGUAAUAUAAUCCCUUUAUUAUAUUAAUUAACCUAUAUUUUUCUCUUCAUCAGAUUUGUCUUUUAAUAACCUUCACAGAGUUGUAUAUUCUUUUAUACACUACAUCAAAUCCUUUAGAUAAUGCAUUAGAAUGUAAAUUAAUCUAUGAUGUCUUUACCCACAUGAAAAUCAUAUUCACACUGCCCCUUAGGAGACAGAUAAUGAUUUUCACAUGAUCCUUACUUCAUUCAAAUAUCAGAUAUGCAACUCGUGGUCUCCUAUCUUCUUGUAUCUUCUUCCUAGACUUACCACUGGGUUCGCAUAGUUAAUGAAAUGCACAAGGCACAUGUUCAUUCAUGACCCAUCGCCAUGAAAUCCCAACUGAUAUGUUUCCUUCUGUAUAGAGGUUUACCAAAACCCACUUUUCAUUUUCUCUCUGUCUAAAUUUUUUCGGGUCACCUGAAGAGCUAGAAGCACUGCCCAUGACUAGGUGGCUAAGGAAAUGAGGAACCUUGCUUUGUAAGAGUGGACCAGCAUCGAGAAUUUACAAAGAACUAAACACUGACUGGAGAGAAGAGGAGAAAAAAAUGAAUCUCUACUCACUGAAAAUAAUAUCACAUAAUCCAGAUUUGGCAAUUACCUGCAUCUGGGAUGUGUGUUUAUAAAAUUAGAGCUAAUAAAAGCAGUGACGUGCAGCUAUGGAUGUCUCAAUUUGGUUAAAAUUAAACUCUCAGGUUUUACAUAUCAUUCUUUGCUAAUUCCCUUCUAGUACUUAUUUCUUAACUGCUUUUUAAAAUGUUAUGCAAAGUUCAUUGACUUAAUUCUCCCAACAGAUUUUCCUGUAAUUUUCGGUUAAACAGUACCCUUUAUGUACAGGUCCUUCGGUCACCAGCACUGAACAGAAAGAGGCUCUGAUUCAUGAAAUGUGAAUUUCUGACAGUUGCCACUUUUUUAAAAAAGAACUUGAGCAAUACAGGACU